UGUCAGGAUCAGCGGCGUGGCGGAGUGCAGCACUGAGGGCCCUUGCGUUCGGGGCCCUGCUUGUGCUGGUUUGUGGGGGACCCAGACCCGGACACAGGAGUGUGCAGCAUCAGAGAGAACAGGCAGAGUGGACUCAGAGAGUUCAGUAUCCAGCGGUCAACGAUGCACAGCGCAUCCAGAUCCCUUCAGUGGACGAUGCACAGAGAUGCUCUGCUGGUUUCUAUCUGGACAGAAGCGGUCUGUUUGCUCGUUGUGCUCGCUGCUCCUGUAACAGCUUCUCUAACGAGUGCGAGGAAAACACCGGCCGAUGUCUGAACUGCGGUGAUAAUAGAGCAGGGGAUCACUGUGAGCGCUGUAGAGAUGGAUUUUACUCAGAUGCAGCACAGAGGAGAUGCAGCGCGUGCCCAUGUCCUCUCAGCAACAAUGCCAACAAGUAAGACUCACAUCUGUGACAGAAAAAGCACUGACAGUUUUGAGGCGAGAGACUGCUGGUAUAUUGAUAUUUUGGGCAUUUUGGCUUUUCUUAAAGUGUUUUUACAGACCAGUGGACAGAAAACCCCCA